UUAAGAUGAACGUCCUGAGCAGGUGCUGCAUUUAUUCAAAAUUAUUCAGGUAAAAGAUACCCUGGGUGUUCUUUUAUUCUUUACCAUCUGCCCUUCUCAGAUUUGUCAGAUAGGGGUGUGUUCCCACAGUGGGAAGAGGGAGAAGAAAAAAAAAAAAAAGACACCCGUUUCAAAAACAUGGGUGGGAUUCAGUUCCCAAUUUCCCUUCUCUUCUAUUACGAAGCCGUCAAUUUGCUGAGAAUAGUUAAUUGGCACCAUACUCUACCUCUAUCCCUGUCGAUAUGCCUGGAGUUCAGGGGAAGCACUUCCUGCCUCCACAUGAGAACUAAACCCCCUCACCUGAAGAUUCAACCCACCAUGGGUUCCACAAUGUUGGUCUGGCACAGGAUCAAGGACUCGUGUAAUCUUUCCUCCAUGUCUAGCCUCAUGUUUUCGCUUACAUAUAACCUGGAUUUCCUUAAUCAAGUGAUCCCUGACUACAUUUAGUUUUCUUAACAGUACAUUAGACUUCGAGAUGUUUGCAUCAGAGUGCUCCAUCUAGGCUUUAUAGUCUACAGUACUCCCACAUUAAGCAUGAUGAUACUUUGGCCUCCACAAGAAGAUGCUUAGAGACCCAACCACCUUUGAGGAAUAGUGUCUUUUCAUAGAACGCCAUGCAUGGGGUAUCCGCUUCUUAUUGGCUCUACACCUCGUCUUCCAUCCAGAUUUGAUUCCUGCUGGGAAACCGCUAUGUAGAGAUCUCUCUGAACAGCAGUGCAAUAAGAUUUUUACAUUUGCACUCUGGAGCAGUCUUGACUCUAAAAUGAAGGAAUUAAGUUAGAAACUCCUUGCUCAAUGGUAUCAGAUCCAUUUGUUCCUACCUAGAAUUUGCAGUUAAACUCCUGAGGAUUGCAGGUGUCGGAUCUGCAUUCCACAUUUGGUGGCUGUUCCUGAAAAUCUUUCCCUACUGGAAGGUGAUUCACGUGGCUAUCAAUAAAGUUGUUAUCCAGGGUCUCUCACUUCAGAGUUGAUGUUGCUCCAUUAAUUUAGUCUCCUCAAUUUUGCAAAGUCAAAAAAUCACUCACAGGCCACUUACGGGGCAAGGCAAAGGCACUCAUACAUCUGUAUUGGAGAUCUGAUAAUUUGACCAGUCUCCAGCUGCGGAAACCUAAAGUGAAGGGAAUUCACAAUACAGAAAAUCUCACUGCCUCUUUAUAUGAACUGCAAAAUGCACAUUUCAGACAACUGCAACUUCUUAGAUUUAGUGGUGAUGCCUGGUUGAUACCUAGUAACAUUAAGACACAGUUUUUAUAGGUUAGGUUAUGUAGUAAAUUCCACCUAUUACCUCACUUUAGCAACUUUGGUUUUUAUAUUUUCAUACAACUGCUUCUUUUCUCUUUUUGGUGUAAAAAACUAUGCAAAAAAAAAAAAAAAAAUUCCCAUCAAAAGCUUUCCACAAAUCCCUUCAGAAGACUAGCACGCUUCCAAACUGUACUUAAUUUUUCAUAAAUGAAGGCAAUUUUUUUCAGCUACAGUUUUCUUACGGUUGAUACCCUAUUUACUUCUCUCCUCUGGAAUCUACUGCCAACAACCACCGCCCUACUUUGGAUCAUCUACUAAUCUACAGUUUAAAGCACACCAUUAUAUUUGCGUUUCCCUCUCUUAAUUCAGUACUUUUUUUCUUUUAAAAGUUGAAAAAAAAAUAUAUUUUUUUGAAUAUGUAAAUAUUUGCUAUGAUGCUGUACAUCUAAACUCCAAUAAAAUAUGUUUAAAAUCAGAAACCAUUCCUCCAAUCUAUUUGAAUGCCUUAUAUAUUUGAUCAAUCUUUCUUUUAGUUGAGGCAUGUGAGAGGUACAGAACAAAGAAAGAAUAUAGGAGUCAUGGUAGAGAACAGUACAACGAUAUUGGCAGAUACACAUAUACAUAAGCUCCUAAGGUAGACUGGCUCUUUUUUUUGUUUUUUAAGUUGCAAAAUAUGCUAUGAAAACAUGAAGUUAUCAUAAGAAAUACUGAUUGUGUAACAAGAGGAGACAACAUGCCACUAAUGUAUUGUAGCUGUAUAAGAUGCAUGGUAUGCACAAUAAAAGUAAAAAUAAAUAACUACAAAGGAAUCAUAUCACAUGCAGUGAGUCGUAAUAUAAGCAGGUGAUUAAGUUGCGGCUGCGGCGCACUGUCUCAAACAGUUGAGAAACAUGCAGGUCGGGGCCCAUUAAAGAAGCUCAAGUCAACCUACACCCUACGUGGGUAAGGCUUUGCCCUUCAGACGGUGGUAACCCCUUAAGAGAGUGUCCCUUUGAGACAUGUGGUCCAGAUGAAAGGAGGGCUGAAGUGAAUUCUCCCAUACUGUUGCUCUGGUACUGGCAUCAUGCAGUUACCAGAGUCCUGAGGAGUGGUAUUUCUGGACAACCUCCUACAGAAGUUGUGUCAGCGUAGGCCCCGCAUUCGCCUCCUCCGUGUCAGCCAUGAUUGCGCUGCUCUAUGCGAUCGUCGUUCACUCAGCACUUUAAGAGAAGUCGCAUUCAAGCCUCACAGUGCGCCCGAUGGUGAAGACCAGAGAACAGUGGGUUGAAGCUGCAUGCCUCUAGAAGCCUUCAUAGGGCACUUGAGUUUGGUCCAGAAAUCCCAAAAUAUUCUGUCGAGGCUCUCCAGUAUAGGAGCCAUUGUGGUGCUAGAUUCAGGCUUGCGCCAUUUCAUGGCAGAGAAGGAGGCUAUCGCUUGUAGCUGUUAGAGGACACCCACCACAGCCCUGAAGAUGUUGCUGGGAUAUCCCUCACCAGCAAGGAUUGGGACAGGGGAAGACCAUCAGAGUCGCAGAAUUUGAAACAGUCAGCACAGGGAUCGGCCGCAUUCCCUGCACCAGCCGUUAGUAGGCUGCUUGAAGGCCGCAGGUCUGCCCAACUCCUAAUCUGCAGAACGCUAGUGGGUCGAUGCCCAAGUGUACUCCACCAGAGCUCACCCUGUUAUUUCUUACGUUCAGUAAGUUUUAAAUUGUGGUUUUAACGCAUUUUCUGCUUAAUUUGUAGCUUUUGUCACAGAGCUUUCCAAGCAUGCGACCUUCUAGUAUGGCGGCCAGGCUACGCCCCCGAAUGCCUUAGAUAUUUAUAAAAUUACUUUUUUACUACGUUUUCAGCUGUGUGAGACAAUUACAUUAAUUUUACGAUUACAUAUCUUACCAGACAUGGACUUGUCGUUCUGUUGUCUAUUGUGCACUUUUUAACCAUGGGAUACUAAUUUAACAUUUAUGAAAUUUCCGAGUGAAACAUUACAUCACUAAUUAAUAUAACUAAUUAGCAAUAUAUUCAACUAGAUUUUGAACAUUGUAGAUGAGCAUUUUAUAGCAUAUAGUCAAUAUUUUCAACUGCUUAAAGGAACACUAUAGUCACCAGAACAACUACAGCUUAUUGCAUUCCCCUGCAGGGAAUGACUGCUGUAAACAGUCUUUUCAAAUAAAAUGCAGUGUUUACAUUACAGCUUAGUGAUAACUUCACUGGCUGCUUCCUUGGGGCAGUCCUGCCUAAUGUACAGAACUGCCAUUCGGUGUCUCCACCCUCUGCAUGCAGACACUGAACUUUCCUAAUAUAGAUGCAUUGAUUGCUGACUGGCCAGGGCUGUGUUUGACUUGUGCUGACUCUGCCCCUGAUCUGCCUCCUUGACAGUCUCAGCCAGUACUAUGGGGAAGCAUUAUGAUUGGCUCAGACCACCACUUCUGAUGUCAGCAGGCAGGGACAGGUCUAAAGCAGGGCCAGGAGCUGUAGACUUGAAUACAAGUAAGAGGUGGCCAGGGGAGCUAGAUGGUGGUUUUAACAGUAUGGGGUCGGGAAUACGUUUGUCUUCCUGACUCUAUAGUGCUCCUUUAAUUCAGGAUUAGGCAAAAGCAUCAUACUGAUCAGCUACGCCCAGCAAUAUGGGUUCUGGUUCAACAGCAUAUACACAUGUCUAAGUUUGUACUAGUUUUCCACCAUAAUCUGAUUAUUGUUGCCUUUAUAUUCCCAGUGUAAACUGUUUAAAAACAUAAAUAAAUAAAAAAAAUAAUAAUUUG
rnacentral:lncRNA from 1 species